AAAAACGCUGGUUUUUAAAGUCAAUUGGGCCAAACAUUUUAGAAGCCCAAAUUUUCCCUCAACCCAGCCCAGACAGGGUCAACCCAAACCCAAGAUCCGGACCCCAUUCGUCUUAUACUAACCAAGAAUCCUAAUAAAAAAGAUCAGACCUAUAGGCCCUAGAAAAAAAAGGCAGCGCCGCUGGAACAUAGACCCCCGAUUUUUGUCGUCGUCUUCUUCAACACAGACCCCCCUCCCCGUUGUUCUUCUUCCUUCAUCUUCAGAACACAAAGAUCACUCCACCCUCACGCCAACCUGAACCAUAACAGCCCCCCCCCCCCAGCGGUUCAUGUUCUUCGACCCCUUCCAUCAUCUUCAGAGAGCAGCAACACCUUCUUCUUCAACUCUUAACCACCAAACAAGCAGCCUUCGCCUGAAAACACCUCCCCCGUCGUCGUCUCACACCUAGCCGUGACACCGUUACAUCAACCAGGUUUUUAAUCCAAAAAAAAAACAUAGAAGUUUCUUCUUCUCUUUGGUUCGAUCUCGAUUUUUUAGUUUCAAAUUCAUAGAGUCCAUUUUGAAGCUCGUUUGGAGAGUUGUUUGGAGCUGAGAUGUUGGAAACGGUUUGAGGUCUUCGUUCAUUGCCGAUUCAAAAUUUUGUCAUUGGUUCAAGGUUCGCAUCAGUAGCUCGUCUCGCCUGUUUGGAAAUCUUCUUUCAUUGUAUACGGUGAAAAUUUGCAGUAGUAGAGGUCCGUUCUAACUUUCUUCUUCAAUGUUUCUUGUAAUAUUCUUGUGAAUGAUUUGAUAAGGAUGGUUAUUUUCUGUGCCUUGAAAUCUUAUCUUGGUGUGCAAUUUGGUUAAAUUAGAUCUGUGGUUAACGAGCGUAUAUGCUAAAUUGUGUUUGAGGAAAGUCGUUUGAAUUAAUACAGUGAGUCGGCAAGAACGUCAAUUAACCGAGGUUUUAAUUUCUUUAAUCAUUUUGGUUGAUCUACUAUAAUUGAAUGUUUUACCUCAGUUGAAUGGGAUGUAUUGGUUUGGUAAAGCUUUUAAUAAUAUUUGGCCACGAGCUUUGUCAUUAAAUGAGUGGGAAUUUGAGUUUUUAGGCCACAAGCUUGGAGUUAAAUGAAAGAAAAUUGGAGUGUAUCACUUUAUUCUGUCAAUUAUUCAUAAGAGCAUGUCAGGCCGCGAACCUUUAGGCACGUAAUUAAAUCAUCGAAACUACAUGUACUUCUCCCGUGGCGUAGUCGUGAUACCUAAUUUCAAAUUAGUUUUAAAUAUGAGCCUCCGUAGUUCGCUUUAGUUGAGUUCAAAUCUUCUUCUUUAAAUAAGUUGAGGUGUGUCAUACAAUCACCUAGUCUAUGGCCCUCACAUCGAUGUCUUAACUAGUGUAGAAAAUGCCUUGAAAUCUCGUAGUUUGCUUUAGGUGCGUUAAUUAAAUAAAUUAUCUUAGCUACGGGUACAGUUCCCGUGACGUAAUUGUGAUGCUUAAUUUCCAAAUUUGGGGGUACAUUUAUGUGAUCCGGCCACAAUUUAAUCUUGUUAAUAAAAUAAAUAUGUUGUGGAUCAUGGGUAUGGUUCCCGUGACAUAAUUCGCAAUGUGUAAUCAAAUAAUUAGAUGUAUGACACUUGGAUUAUUAAAAGCGGUUAAAGGGAUAAAAUCCACAUAGGUUCAAAAAUGUUUUAUUAAUCAGAUAAUUAGGCCAAUAAUAACAGUUGAGCGACCGUGCUAAAAUUACGGAACCCGGGAAUGCCUAACACCUUCUCCCGGGUUAACAAAAUUUCUUACCCAGAUUUUUGUGUUCGCGUACUGUAAAUCAGAGUCAAUCUUUCCUCGAUUCAAGAUUUAAACUGGUGACUUGGGACACCAUAAAUCAUCCCAAGUGACGACUCUGAAUUUUAAAUAAAUAAUCACAUUUUGAUUGUCACUUAAAUUGGAAAAAAUUCCCUUAUACCCUUCGGGGUGAUAAAAAAGGAGGUGUGACAUUACCAGUCCUUGGAAAAUGUAUAAGAUUUAGAUAUUUUCUUGUAUUUAAUGUCUCAUUAAAUUUCAUUGGAAUCUGGUUAUUAUCAAUUGGCUUACCUAACAGGUUGGGUUAGCUGCCAUCACGACUAGUUGGAUUUUGGGUCAUGACAAGUUGGUAUUAGUGCUCUAGGUUCAUAGGUUUUAGAAGUCAUGAUCAAGUGUCUAGUGGAGUCUUACGGAUCGGUAUGAUGAUGUCCAUACCUAUCUUCGAGAGGCUACAGGACAAUUAGGAUAUACUUUCCAUCUUUCUUUCCUUAUCAUGCGGCAUUGAUUUAGCUUGAAACAUAACUCUUUGAAUUCCUUCCAUGCAUUCGUAUGUGCAUAUGAGCGCUCGGUAUCAAAUCUACAUUGACGACUUGUGAUUCCAUGAAUAAGGUGCGAGAUGUGAUUUCUCUAUGUUGAUGAAGGGCCAGUCUAGAGGAUUUGAGGCCGGGUUUUUGACGAUACCUUGAGCACGGGGAUCUCAGUUGUGUGAGCACGUGCUUUUGGACUUAUAAGUCUGGUAGUGUCCCUAUUAGUGGAAUUUGUGGCUCGAUAGUGGUUGGAUGGAUGUAUGAUGAGUAUGAUGUGACUAUGGGAAAUGUUCAGAUUGUUUGAAUGAGACGAAAAGAGUUUGCUUGAGAUGUAAAAAGGACUAUUGGGUGCUUGAUUUUUGUCUUGAUUUGACGUAUAGUCUCGAGUUAUGGGUGUGUUGACGAAUCUUUCAUGUUGUUUAAUUUUGGAGUGAAGUAGAUUUUCAUGUCUUAUUAUGAAUUCAGGCUCUGGAAGAUUAUGUGAUGGCGUAGUAGUUGUGGUUGUGAAAGGGUAUAGAGAGGUGUCAGUUUGAGGCUAAGCGGGUAGGUUAUCACAUGCGGGAUAAUAUACGGAUGUUUGAUCCUUAUGAUAUUGUGUGGAGAGUUUCUUUCUACUAGCGGGUUAUAUGUGUUGUGAUAUGAGUAUGGAUUGGUUAAGAAAGUUGACAUGACCGGCAAGAGGAUAAAUGCGAGCGUAGUAGAUGAUUUGAGGUAUUAUAUGGUUUGCGUUACAUGAGGUUAUGAAGGAUUGAGUUGAAUCUUAUUGCAAUAUUAUGGCAGUAAUAAAGUAUGGGCAUUGUGAGUUAUCGAGUGUUUUGAUCUGUGGCUUUGAGCCAAGUUGGGGAGUCAGUUAUCAACGAUUGGAUUACUUGGUUAUGUGUUGUACUCAUUUUGGUUUGAGGUAUACUUGUGAAUCAGUUAUGACUUACAAAGAUUGAGAUCGAGGAUGACUCGAGUAAGGGAACUUCUGGAUACGGGGUAUAUUAUACUUUAUGGUUAUAUGGAAAUCAUGGAAUGAUUUGAGUUGUUAUUCGUGACGGAUGUAGUGCGCAUGGAGUAGGAAUUUGCUUGGUUGCGUAAUGUGGGGUUACUUCUUUGGAUGUCGUCAUGCUAAUAGGGCACAGGUCGUUAGGCCCGUUUGGGCGGCACAAUUGAGAUUUGAGAAGAAUGGGUGACUCCCAAGAAUGUUCUAGUGGGUUCAAGAUUUAUAUGUAGCAAUUGAGAGUUUUUUGGAUUUGUAUAUGGUUAGAACCUGAGAUUUACAUUGGAUGGUAUCAAGACUCACGGUAUUUUUAUAUUAUUGUGUAUUAUACACUUCAGUAUCAAGUAGGUAAAGGAAAAUGUUUUAGGUUCACACAAGGUCUCUUCAGAGUGGUUGUAUCGGUUGUGGUGCUUGGGGGUGCUUAAAAGGGAAUUCAGUGUCUUAUGGGCCUUAGGGUAGUGUGGUUCUAUGCUAGGGUUCAUGGGGUGAGUUUUGGUUAAGGAUUGUGGUGUUCUAUCAAGGAGAAGUAUCAAUUUGAAGGCAAUUUGGAAGGAACUCGGAGAAAUAGGAUAGUUUAGUAAUAGAUUGGAUCAGCACCGAAAUGGAUAUGAUCGGUUCUUGGGGUACUUUUGAUGUAGUGAGUUUCUACAAGUGUUUUGUGGCGAUACUCUUGAGUUUGGUGACCUGCGUGGCACCGUUGAGCUAGAGAGAUUCAGUUCUGUUGUCUUGGUUAUGUGCAAUGGGCUUCGAAGAGUUCUCAAUAAUUUCUACCACGAUUUGAGAUGGAUUUUUCCUACCAACGUGAGGAACAUGUUACGUAUCGAGAUUUUCUCCUGGAUGAUAUCAAAUGGAAGUCUUCUGACUGAUCAGGUAUGUAUUCUGCUUGUGACUCAAAGUUGAUUAUUAGAUUAAUGUGCUCUUCACAUGAUGGCAUGAUUGAUGCGGUGUGUUGUGUGGGAUUAAGAUUUGCGUGUGCAAGGUCACGGUUAAGUUUUGAAUGGAAGGUCAUAAAUUCUUAGGCAACAUAGUCGGUUUCAGAAGACUUGUUAAAUGAUAUUACUACUUGGUAUUGCUUGAAAAGGGUGAGCAUUUCAGAAGGAGCAGUGAGUUUUUAUUUAUAGAUUCUUCAUUGGUAUUGCAACACUCUUCUAGUUGAUCGACUUCUGAUUUUCAGAUAUUGCUAUGUGGCACAGAAGAAUUAGAGAAGUAUUCCUCGUGGGAUGAUUAUGUAUGAGAGAUGUGUUAGUCAUUCGGGCGGUGGAGUUGGAAUCGGAUAUGGUGGUUCGUGUGUUCUAUGGAUUUGGAGAACGAGAGUUCUCAGGAGCAGAUCAUUUCAUGGUUGUGGAUUGUGAAAAUGUUGUCAAAGCUAGCCAGAGGAUGGUAUGCAUUAUGGUUAGGUCAUUGUGGAAUUUCGGAGGGCUAUUUAUCUAUUUGUGGGUGACCAGAGUUGAUCUGGGGUCCAUUGGUAUGCCCAAUGAGGAUGUGUAUUCUACACCUAGUCGGAUUAGUUGACUUUGUACUGCUUCUAUUGAGGGAUGUGCCAUUCGGUUAGUGUUGAGUUUAUUUGUGUUCUGAUAUGUUCUAUGAGUUACCCUUCUACGCUACGAGGGAUUGUGAUCCGUUAGUUAUAUGCACACAUGGUGCGGUUCUAUUUGGGCCUUAUAGAGAAAUUUAAGUGAGAUAGGUAUUAGGGUGUUGAAUGACUGAUUGCGCAUUUGUUGAUGUUCUUUUCCGGUCAGUGGUAUUUUGUUAUUGGUUACUCCGUGGUUAUGGUCAUGCACCUUGGGUACUGGAUGUCAAAUUGCGUGUGGUCAUUAAUUUUGAGCAUUUUGCCUGGAGGUAUUUCAUAUGGACUAGUAUUUGGAUGGGGUCACACAUUACAGCUAGGGUAUGUUGGGAUAUGAUCCUUUGUGAUCGAUUCGUGUGUUUUUGUUCUACGGUGUGUGAUGGGUUCUUAACAUUGUGUUGUGGUGGUACUUGUUGAGCUUGCAGGACGGUUCUCUCAUUUGAGUCAUUUUCUAUGUUUGAUACACUUGAAUUGUUGCGUAUUGGCGCGCGGAUUGCACGGUUUAUGGCUUAAAGUUGUAUUGGUGUGGCAUGUCAGUAGGGCUGCUGUAUUUGAUAAGAUGAGGUCGUCGGACCUAGAAUGGGUGCUAUCGAAUCUGAUUGCGGUAUAUUUGGAAGAAUAAUAUCAUAAGUCCGCUUAGAAAUUGGCUAUUAUUCUUGUCGAAGGAGAGGGAGCUCCAUGACUUGUUGAUCUGAUGAAUGGUUAUGAGUUUCUGCGUGCUUCUUUCAUCAUCUGUAGCGUACGAAAGUUUUAGAAUGAGGUUUUGUUUGAUAUGAGGUUUACUACCAGUACCGAUUUAUUUUUAAGCAGCUACUGUGAUUAGAAAUUAUUGCUAUGAGUAUUUGAGUUAAGUGGUAUAUCAUGUGAUUGUGUCUUGGGUUACAGUUAAGGCUCGAUGCAGUUUAUUUAGACUUAUACAAUAUAUAGAUGCGAGAUUUGGGUCCUAUAGGAAAUUUCGAAUGUUGAAAAAUUGGAUUCCAAGGUUUAUAGGCUAAGGUUGAAUUAAGGAUCUUCAGUUAGGUUGUGUCGUCAGGCUUAUAUGGUCCCUAUAACCCCCGGGUAUGUGCAUGUAUAGGUUACACGGUGAUUUUAUGGCUUUGGAAUGACUCUUGGCACGUUCUAGAACGAACGUAUGUUGAAAUGGGGGAGGAUAUAACGACCCAACCGGUUGUUUUGAGAAUUUGCACUUUGCUCAGUAGUUUGAGGGCACAAAUAUCUCUGCAUGAUGUAUUAUGACUUGUGUGAAUCAUCGGUUUUGGUUUUCAGGUUAUUUAGAAUCGAUUUGGAAGAAUGAAUUUCAUUGUUGAAGCUUUAAGUUGGAAGAGUUGACCAAGUUUGACUUUUAUGAAUUUGGCCCUGAAAUGGAGUUUUGAUGGUUCCGCUAGGUCUGAAUGGUGAUUUUGGACUCGAGCGUAUGCCCGGAUUUGCAAUUGGAUAUUUCUAGAUGGAUUUCUGCACUAAUUAGCGAAAGUUAGAAAUUUGAAGGUUUGGAAAGUUCAUAAGUUUGACCGGAAGUUGACUUUGAGGAUAUCGGAUUCAUAUUGUGGUUCCAAGUAUUGGAAUAGCUUCAUUAUUUCAUUUGGGACUUGUGUCCAAAAUUUAAGUUUAUUUCGAGUUGAUUUGAUAUAUUUCGGCGGAAGUUUUUGGAAGUCGAAAGUUCAUUAAGUUUGAUUUGAGAUACGAUUCGUCGUUUCGAUGUUGUUAUGCGUGAUUUAAGGCCUCGAGUAGGUCCGUGUUAUGUUAUGGGACUUUUUGGUAUGUUCGGACGGGGUCCCGAGGGGCUCGGGUGAGUUUCGGAUAAGUUUGGUUGUGUUGAGCUCGUUUUUUAUGUUUCGACGUCGGUUCUUCAAGCAUAAAUGGUACCACAUUAAGCAAAUAAGCUCCAAUUUCUGUUUUUAUUGAAGCAUUAGAUCUGUAUCGUAAUUAUGGAGCCAUAUAAAGAAGAAUAGUCAAAUUUAGAUAUGAUAUGAGGAGUUUAUUGUCAUUUUACUAAGAAUUGUGUUGCUAGAUUUUUCAAAUUAAUUACGAAAUUGCCACUGACUUCGUAUUUAAAAAUUUGCACUAUUUUUAAAUAUUGAAACCAACAUAUCUCCUUCAUUAUAAGGUUAAAUGGAGUGAUUCAAAAGUCUAACUUAACUGAAAUUUUACAAGAAAUCCAUUGGAGGUAUCAAAAGCGAGUUUUGAGAUUGUUUGGCACACGAAAUGAGGCAGAACAUCUGAGCAAAAAUAUUUAAUAUCAUGGGUUUGUUCAUUUAGUCAUAUUUUGAGUUGGGGAGCUCAGAUUUGGGCAGUUUUUGAGGCAAUAUUUACCAUAUGAAUUGGGAUAAGUGUUCUCUACUCGGUUUUGGUUAUAUUUCAUGAAUCUAUCUUCGUUUUUUGGUAAUUGGAUCGUGAAUUUUAAAGAAGAAAUUGGGGGGGUUUUGUCCAAAGUUUCAUAGAGUGAAUUUUUGAGUUUUGAACAUCAAUUUAGAGUCGGAUUUGAGUGAAACUAGUAUGGUUGUGACUCUACUAUUUCCAUGGGACUGUGUAGUUACCUAAUCUUAUCUGCAACUGUGAGCACGUGAUUUUUGCUCUAUAUGAAUUACUCCCAUAAAUUCAAAACAAAAUAAUUUCUUUUCAUCAUUUGUAAUUUUUGUGGCAUUUUCUGUUAAUUAUUUGUAUUUGUCUGUGCAUUUCAAUUUGUUUAAUUAAUGAAAAAUACAAAAAUAUGCUGCAUUUGCAUUUAAGAUUUAAUUUUUUGCAUUUUUGAAUUAAUCAGUAAUUCAAUGUUUAAUAAAAAUGGAAAAAAUCACAAAAUAAUUCAUUGUUACACUUUAAUUUUAAUUUUUCGAAUUCUGUUAGUUUUUUUUAAUUUGGUAUUUAAUUAGUGGUGGUAAUUAUCGUUUAGAAUUAAUUAAUUCAAUUUGAUAAGAUAAUUUGAUUAGGAAUUAAUUUAGGUUUUAUUUUUUUUAAUUUUAAUUUAAUUUAAAAGAAAUUAAAAGGAAAAAUUGAAAAAAAAGAAUAAAACAAAAAAAGAGAUCAGAUUUUUAGGCCAAAUCUGAUUUUGCAGCCCAAAUACUCGUUUAACCUAGGCCCAGACCAGCCAAAACCCGGUCUGGUCACCCUUUUCCCCGAACGACACCGUUUCAUGGGCAACAGAUCAGGACCGUCGAGGUUUCUUAAUCGGACGGUCCUGAAACUCGGGUCAUUUAGUAUUUAAUUAUCUGAACACCCCCCUACCCCCCUCUCAUCGUCUCCACACCCUCAUAGAACACCCCGCCGUCUCCGCCGUGCGCCGCCUGCCGGAAUUCUCCUCCGCCGGCGGCGGUGCUCCAAUCUACCCCAUAUUUACACCAUUAGUUCCCCUCUUUCUCCUCUUUCCAAAUAUCCAAACCCCCUCCCUCGAAUCCCAGCCGAACUUCUCGAAUCUAGAAUCAAAGGGAACGACCAAAACCCUAAUUUGCCCAAUCUGUCCCAAAAUUACACCCUAGGAUCCCCUUCAUCUCCUCACCCCAAAUCCCUAACCCGUUUCCUUCAAAUCUUCGUCAAGCUCUUCGAAUUUUAGAUCAAAAAAUGAAGCCCUAAUCUGUUUCUCCCCUUUUAAUUUUUGAUGUUUUCAAGGCUCGAUUCGAGCCCAAAAAUUAUGCCAGUCAUUUGUUCUCAGUAAGAACAAUUGAUUAGUGUCAUCUUUGGGUUCAUUUCAAAGCUCACCGGAUUCCGGACAAGUCGUCAAUGUCCAUUUAAGUUCGUCGCCUUUAUCAUUUGCCUAAGGUUAGACCAGUGUUUUCUUUCUCUUAUUCUUUACUUAGUUUUGGUUCUGGUUUUUUGUGUUUGAAUCUGUAUGAAUCCAUUAGGUCUAAUUGCAAUAAGUUUUAGAGGUUAUACGUCUGUUUAAUAGCUAUUUUAGAUGAUCUUGUGAAUGCUACGUGUUUUAUUCAUGUUAUGUUUGGUUCAAUUAAUAGAAGUUUUGCAUUGUUGUUGAGAAUUCCUUUGAUCUGUUUGAAGCCUUUGGCAUUUGUUUAGUACUAUUUGUUUUACUUCAGGGGAUCUUAGGGGAGUUAAUUGUCAUGCCUAGAACUUUGGGGGGUCUCAAAGGGAAGGGCAGGGGUAGUAAUAAUUGGUUGGGCAAAGGGCAGUUUGGGGACUUCAUAAGGUAAGGGAAUCAAUUCCGUUAGGGGAGAGGCUCUAGAAGAUAGGAUAAACGUGAGUCUGUUAGGAGGGGUGAUUUUCAGAUUCUUUAGAGAGGUAACAGGGUAAAAACAAUUUGGUUUGAGAGGGUUAAAAUGGGAAAUAGCUAGCUAGAAUAGGGCUGCACUAGAUAGGCUUAUAUAAAGACCUCCUUCUCCUCAUUUUGGGACAGUUUUUUACACAUUCUGAAAUCUGAGAGAAAAUUGGAAAACUAAGAAAUACUGAAAAUUCAAAAAUAGCUGAAAAGAGUGAAAAGCACUGUUCCAUUGAAUUCUCUGUUUAAAUUUUGAAGUUUUUCAUUGCUGAAACGAGUUUUGAUUUUCUUUGAAGUUGAAAAUGGUUUGAGAUUGGGUAUUUGAAAGAGUUGAUUUAAGUGUAUUGAUUGGUUUACUGUUCUACUGAUGUUCUGAGUGAAUUUCACUGUUCGAACUGCUGAAUCUGGGCUGUUUCUUGCUACUGCUUGGCUGAACCUCACUCCUUCUUCCAUUUUUCUUAAUUUCCAGGUACAUGCUCUAAAUCCAUCAUGAUGUAGCUCUCAAGUUGGGAAUGAGAAUAAAAGUCAUGCUGAUUCCUUCUAUUUUAUGUGUUCAUUCGAUUCAGUAUAGUUCCUUUAGCUUUACUGAUUAAAUAGAUCUCCAUGUUAUGUAAUUAAUUAGAGACUGUUUGAACUCAUGAAAUGCUUUUGGAUAUGUUAAUUUAGCAAUCUAUAUUAGCUGAAUACAGGGUUUGUUCUAGUAAAUGUAUGGUGUACCACUAUUUUGGUAGUUGAUAGUGUGUAUCAUUUGAAUUCGACGCAUGAAGUUCAAUGCAUGUUGAUUUUGGUUGUUCCAUGCUUAGAUACGUUAACAAAAGGAAUACAGGGCUGUAAAGUUGAGAGGUGUCAUCGUAUCAGUCUACUUUGGGUUUUAAUUUGUGGUUCUAUGAUUAGAAAUUUACAUUAAGUGAUGAGUUUAAAGGGGAAGGGGAUAGCCUUAGGAUUUCUUCAGCAAAUAUGAAUGUUUCAUGGUGCUAGAUUCAAGCUGGCCUUCUUCAGUAGUAUGUGUAUCUUUCUGGCUUAUCUUUCUAUUUUGUGUCCGG
rnacentral:lncRNA from 1 species